rnacentral:rRNA from 1 species
UACGGAGGGUGCGAGCGUUGUCCGGAAUCAUUGGGCGUAAAGGGCGCGUAGGUGGCCCGGUCAGCGUGCGGUGAAAGCUCGGGGCUCAACCCCGAGUCGGCCGUGCGAACUGCUGGGCUUGAGCACUGUAGAGGCAGGCGGAAUUCCGGGUGUAGCGGUGGAAUGCGUAGAGAUCCGGAAGAACACCGGUGGCGAAGGCGGCCUGCUGGGCAGUGGCUGACACUGAGGCGCGAAAGCUAGGGGAGCAAACGGG